rnacentral:rRNA from 1 species
GACGAACGCUGGCGGCGUGCUUAACACAUGCAAGUCGAACGGGCUCUGUCUGGCUGUGUGCUGGGUGGGGUUAGUGGCGAACGGGUGAGUAAUACGUGAGUAACCUGCCCUCUUCUUUGGGAUAAGCCUUGGAAACGGGGUCUAAUACUGGAUAUUCCUGUCUGGUCGCAUGGCUGGGUGGGGAAAGUUUUUUUCGGUGGGGGAUGGGCUCGCGGCCUAUCAGCUUGGUGGUGGGGUGAUGGCCUACCAAGGCGGCGACGGGUAGCCGGCCUGAGAGGGGGACCGGCCACACUGGGACUGAGAUACGGCCCAGACUCCUACGGGAGGCAGCAGUGGGGGAUAUUGCACAAUGGGCGCAAGCCUGAUGCAGCGACGCCGCGUGGGGGAUGACGGCUUUCGGGUUGUAAACCUCUUUCGUCGGGGGACAAGGCUCUGCUUGGUGGUGGGGUUGAGGGUACCCGGUGAAGAAGCGCCGGCUAACUACGUG